rnacentral:rRNA from 1 species
GAACGUGCCUUUCACUACGGAACAGUCCCGGGAAACUGGGUUUAAUACCGUAUACGCCCUUCGGGGGAAAGAAUUUCGGUGAGAGAUCGGCCCGCGUCUGAUUAGGUAGUUGGUGGGGUAAUGGCCUACCAAGCCGACGAUCAGUAGCUGGUUUGAGAGGAUGAUCAGCCACACUGGGACUGAGACACGGCCCAGACUCCUACGGGAGGCAGCAGUGAGGAAUCUUGGACAAUGGGGGCAACCCUGAUCCAGCCAUGCCGCGUGAACGAUGAAGGCCUUAGGGUUGUAAAGUUCUUUCAACGGUGAAGAUAAUGACGGUAGCCGUAGAAGAAACCCCGGCUAACUCCGUGCCAGCAGCCGCGGUAAUACGGAGGGGGUUAGCGUUGUUCGGAAUUACUGGGCGUAAAGCGCACGUAGGCGGACUAUUAAGUCAGGGGUGAAAUCCCGGGGCUCAACCCCGGAACUGCCUUUGAUACUGGUAGUCUAGAGUUCGAGAGAGGUGAGUGGAAUUCCGAGUGUAGAGGUGAAAUUCGUAGAUAUUCGGAGGAAC